UACGUAGGGCGCAAGCGUUGUCCGGAAUUAUUGGGCGUAAAGAGCUCGUAGGCGGUUUGUCGCGUCUGCUGUGAAAACCUGAGGCUCAACCUCGGGCUUGCAGUGGGUACGGGCAGACUAGAGUGCGGUAGGGGUGACUGGAAUUCCUGGUGUAGCGGUGAAAUGCGCAGAUAUCAGGAGGGAACACCCGGUGGGCGAAGG
rnacentral:rRNA from 1 species